rnacentral:rRNA from 1 species
AACGAACGCUGGUGGCAUGCCUAAUACAUGCAAGUCGAACGAGAAAGUACCUUCGGGUGCGAGUACAGUGGCGCACGGGUGAGUAACGCGUAGGUGACAUGCCUUUUAGUUGGGGACAACCUCGGGAAACCGGGGCUAAUACCGAAUAUUAUAAACGACAUUGAAAAAGUUUAUCAAAGGGGGCCUUUGGCUCUCGCUAGAAGAUUGGCCUGCGUGACAUUAGCUUGUUGGUGAGGUAACGGCUUACCAAGGCUACGAUGUCUAGCUGGUCUGAGAGGAUGAUCAGUCACACUGGAACUGAGACACGGUCCAG